AUGAUGAAUACACCGGUUCCCGUACGAUCACCGAAGUUAAGCAACGUUAAGCCUGUUCAGUACCUAGAUGGGUGACCACUUGGGAAUACCAUAUGUUGUAAG